rnacentral:hammerhead_ribozyme from 1 species
AUCCAGUUGACGAGUCACAAAUAGGACGAAACGCACGUUCUGGAU